UACAACCUAAUGAAAAAGAAUUACAAAGUCUUUGGUACGGAACUCUUUCAUUGCCAGUGGAUAAUAGACACAGCAGAUUAGAUGGGAUUGUAAAUGAAGUAUUGGAUAAUACAGUAGAACAAAUUCCAGACAAUCUAUAUGUGCAAGAAACGACGAUUCCCGGUACUUCUACAUCUUCACCUGUAUUUGGGUUUAACUCUAUUCCCAAUGGCUCCAACUCCUUAAGUGAAGAUAAAAUGUAAGAAUUGUUGGGUAUCUACAGGCAACACAUAGCAUCAGAUGUGUCUGGUGUAUAUAUUAACUUGAAGGCAGAAUUUGCUGAUGAAUCAAGAGCUCACCACCAUGCGGUUCUUGAAAACAAAAAAUAGUUAUUUGAGGAGCAAAAAAAAGGCAAGAAGAUUACAUGCAACAUUAUUAUCAGAUAAUUCUUGACAACCAAAGGCAAUUUUUCGAACAGCAACAGAAGUGGCAGGAAGAUAGAUAUUAGGGUAUGCAAUCUUAUAUUGAUACUAGUUAAGUUCAAUGAGAUCCUAUGUCGAUGAACAAAAUCAGGAAACACUGAACACAUUAUCUGAAUGGAAAUCAAAUAUGGAAGCCAUCAUAGGUUCCAUGCAACAAGAUGUCCCUCUUGAUACAAGUGUUGUUCCUUGCGAUAAAACAAAUGAGAUAUCAAUAGCUGGACAAAUUGAGAGCUCUAAAAGGUCGAUAAAAGAGAAGAAAAACAAGAGGAAACUAAUAAAGUCUUCAUUAUUUUCAGAUCGUCCUCUGGAAGACUAUCCUAUGCAAAGAUACAUAAAAAUUAGAAUUUUUAUAGCGGAGAAUCAAUUUGGGUAAUAAAUCUAAUUUUACUUCUAUUAGCUCAAAUCUUCAAGUUCUCUUUUGAUUUAUUUGGAAUUAAUUAAAAUUAUGUCAUACAGUGCAUGCUUGGACGAUGGCAGUAACAAUGUAUUUGAAAGAGACAUGUUGAAAGCUCUAAUGGAUCAAACACAGGACAUAAAUAUUGCUGUAAAUAAAGUCUAUGAAUUACAAUAAAUUUUAUUUCAUAGUCGAUAUAUAUAAUCUAAUUUAUAUCUAUUUAUUUCAUCAGAACAUUGAGUUAGAGUUAAAACUAUUGAGGCGGCUCAUGAAUGAUGGUUGUCCGCUUGUUUCAAAGAAUAUGCAAUUAUGGAUUUCAAAUUUGAAGCAGAAUGUGCUCGUCACAUGAUGUGGCAUACUGACACAGGAAUGGGAACCACCAGAGGUGAACCAGAUGGAACUCUUUUGCAAAGUUAUAUGAAUGGCAAAGCACCUAUAUUUGGUCGUCCUUGGAUGAGAUGCAAGUAUAUAUUAAUUUCGUGCUUAUAUUCGGAUAAUAGCUGGUACCUUUUCGUUGUCAAUAUUCUUGAAUGAAAAUUUCAAAUAUAUGAUUGCAGUAAUAACGUCCACACACUGGAUCAAGCAAAAGCACAUGCAAAAGCUUCAUUGACUGUGGUAGAAGCACUAUUGAAAACAACUUUAUCUUCUAGAGGAGAUAUAAGGAAACAAAGGAAUAAACAAAUGGAGCAGAAGAUUAUACCUUACCUAAACUGUGCAAACAAUGAGUAAGCAUUUAAGUGGCUUGUUUUUUAGCAGAAUAUUUAAUUUCCUAAACUUAGUCAUUUAUUCUAACACUAAACUAUUUCUUCCACAGGCCUAAUUGUGAAAUUUUCGUGCUCAAAUAUAUAGAAUGCUUUGUUUUGGGAUAUCCAAUUGAAUUAGUUCAUUGGAUAGGAUGAGCAUAUAUAGACGAAAGAUUGUGGUAGAUAUCUGAUAAGUGUAUUUUAUACACUUAUUCGGGACUCUAAAAUAACAAUAUUUGACAGUUUUUUAGUAAAUUAUAUUCUAAAUUAUUAUAUUUUACGUUUAAUAGGCGAAUUUCCAUGAAUGAAAAAGAAGUAAAGGAAAGAAGCAAAAGCAGGCGAAAAUGAUAAAAUGUAAAGUGCGUGAAUUAAAUUGGCCUUUGGAUGAAAAUAGAGGAGUUGGAAAUAAAUACCACCACAAUAGACCUUAACUAGACUUUUACUUGGAUUGGAAGUUACGUGCAAUUAAAUUACAUAUGGAACCUUGAUAGUACAAGUGGGUGGCCCUAUUAGAUUUGUCCAUAUGAAAUUACACGCGGCAGUUUGGAAAUUAGGGAUGGAAUUGGAAUAUUUUUGUGAAUAAAAUUACUCGGCUGAUUGGAAGUAUUUAUAUGCGCCUACAGAGAGCUUUUGGGGGGCGAAUAUUAUAAUUCACACACACACACAUCAAGGGGCUGCUGGCUGGGGGUUGAAUUUUCUUAUUUGUAGUUACAGAUUGGUGUCGGCAGAAAGGAGAAAAACGGCUGGGAAGAAAAUUGGAGUGGAAGACGUCGGCUACGGUUGGAGUAUAAAAGGCAGCUGCUUGGGAAAUUGUUGAGGGAUUCACACAUAUAAUUGGGCAACAGAUUGGAGGGGAGUUGACAAAAAAAAAAAAUACAAUCUGGUCGGCAUCUUUGGGAGGAGAAAGAGAAAAAAAAAAGACUGCCUUCUGCUGGAAGAAAUUGCCGACAGGAAAGAAGGAGAGACACACAUAUACACAAAAAAAGACAGCUGAAUUUGAAUUUCAAAAGGGCUGCCGGCUGCUGUAGUGUGAAAGAUAUAUGUAUAUAAAUUCAUGCACAUGCAAAAGGAGGAGAAUUGGAGAAUAACCUAGAAAAUAUUUGUUUUGGGGCAGAAUUUUAUUUACUUUAUACACAUCAAAAGGCAGAAACGGCUGGAAGAAGAAUAGAGAAAAUAAACCAUAGAAAAAGACGGCUAGAAAGAGGAGAAUUCGGCUACCAAUUGGUUGACAUUAUACAAACAUUGGGCUGAUUUUUUUUUACUGAUACAACACACGCGAGCAAAAGUGGGGAAAGUUCGUGGAGUUAAUCAUGUCCCGUCAAAUUUCAGUGAUGUUCUUCCACUUUUAUUUGUUUGAUUUCAACAGUAUGCUAGGCUAAUUUUUCUCAUGUAUUAGAUGGAUGACAAAAUUAUUUAAUUUUUAGUUUUAAUUUGAG
rnacentral:lncRNA from 1 species